AAAGUAGAAGGGGAAUUAUUUGCUUGUAGCGUGAAAGAGACAGACUGAUCACGAGCGAGCUUCGGCAAUAGCGUAUUGUGUUUUGUUUACAAACAAAACACAGUAGACUUCCAAGAUGGCUGAAGAGUGGUUUUAGCAAGUUGGCCCACCUUAGGAUAUACUUCUACGCGCCUUGGCAGAGACAAGAAAGGUGUUUUCUAUUUCUGGUAUUACUGCACUCGCGACCCAUUCAUAUACGUCUCUAGGCUUAUAACGUUACCAGACAGUAUCAAUUUUUUAUACGAAUCGAAAAAAUGGUCACUAAAAUAUCUCAGGAAACAUUCGACAGUGUCGUGAAAGAAAACAUGGUCGAGUUCGGCAUGUCGCUCGAGGAAGCACGCGAGGAGAGUGUGAAACAAUUUGAAUCCCAGGGUAUCAAUUUGGGCAACAUCAUCAAGGAUUUGAAUGUUGAUCCCGUGACAGGGACCCCUUUGCUGAAUGAAAGCGUUGACUAUUUGAAAACAAAAGGAAAGCCACAGCUAGAUGCGGAUAAAGGGGCGAUAUGUAAACAUCUGGAUGUCGUGAUUGCCGAGAGCGAAUUGAGUGUACCUCACCGUGUGUUGGCGGCUCAACUUGGUGCCUACGAAUAUGUCGUCAAAACCCUGCACGAAGAAUGUGAUUUGGAUAAGGAAAUCCAAGAUAAACUUUUUAUGGCAGCUAAUUCCAUUAUAAACAGUCAACCUGAUGUGUUCGAUGAUAGAUCACUCGAGAUAGUUACAAAAUUCUUAGCUGAAAAAGAACCUAAAACCACAUGUGACGCGCUCCGAUGGUUUCAGAAAGCAUGUAUCCGACACGAGAUGAAUCGACGCCUCAUCAUGAAUAAGUCUAGAUUCGUGAACGAAUGCAACAUACUUCUCGGCAGCGACAAUGCGGAAAUUGUAAAAAACGUUUGUGCUUUAUUCAGAUACCUUAUAUUGGACGAUGACAUUCGGGUGGAGUUUGGUUUGGCACAUGAACACGCACGAAUGUUGUCUGUGCAUUUGACUGACGUAACGCAACUUUUAUUCAAAUUCAAAACCAAUCAGGCUCUCAUUUGUGAUAUACUACUAACCAUUGGAGCCCUAACCGUUCGUAACGAGUACUGCCAGGUUGUAGAGGAAGCAGGUGGUCUUAAAUUUAUCAUGGAUGCAAUGGUCGAGUUCCCAGAGAACGUCAGACUUCUUAGGGAAGCCACCAAGCUGCUGAAGGCUCUCGCAGGGAAUGAUUCGGUAAAAUUGCACAUCAUUCAGGGAGGAGCGGCACCACUGCUUGAGUCGGCGCUGAAUCGCCACAAAGACAAGGAAUCAUUUGCGCGCUAUGCCUUAUUGUGCGUUGCCACACUUGCCUUGAGGGUACAGGAAAAUAGUGCCGCAUUGUUCGAAUCGGGUAUAUCCGAUACGAUUAUUCAAACGAUGAAGAUUCACCCUAAAAACCAACAUGUCCAACGUAAUGGUGCCUGGGCUAUCCGUAACAUGGUCUCACGAUGCAGGGAUCAAUGCGACACGUUUAUCAGUCAAGGUGCAGAGGAUGUGCUGAAUCAAGCCAUCGCGGAUCAUCCAAAAAUCAAUCAGGAUGUCAGGUCUGCACUUCGUGAUCUCGGAUGCAAAGUGCAUUUGAACGAGGAGUGGAAAGGAAUAUCUGAUAUUCAGAUCAGCCGAGAUUAAUGACGCCGUGGGACGGACUGAGGGAUUGUUGGACGGUUGAGAAGAGAGAGAGCAAAUGAUGAAUUAUUCCGCUUCAUAUAACAGUAAAACAGAGCACAAAGACUAACAAAAAGAAAUAUUCUGUGUAGGACUGAUAAGGGAUAAAAUCUGACGAAAACACCUAUUUUAUUCACACGGACAGACCUACAAUCCACGAUAUUACUCCGUGUUAUGAUCUAUCGUUGUGGAUUCGAUAAUGGAUGGUAAAAAAAUAUGAUUGGGCUCGGCGUGUUCUAAAAUUCUUUUCAUCCUUCCAGAUACUUCACUGUUUCACAUUACUCAUUCAGCACUGUUUUACAAAUAUGGUAUAAUACGUUUGAACGAAAAAGCUCCGAUUGUUGCUUUCCAGAAGUCAAACAGAUUAAUGGAAGAAUGUUCCCUAGGCUCAUACCGUGUGUACAAAAAGCUCUGAGAAAUUUUAUUAAAUGUAUACUGGCGAAUUUAUACAAAAGCUGAAAUCCUAGUCAUCGAUUUUGUUUGUUUUAAUUUAUUUUUUGAUCCAUAAAAUCUCUUCAAAGCGCUCUAGCUGCUAGCUGUGAUUAACAACGCGUUAUCUCGGGGUGCUGUCUAAAAGUACCUAUUAUUGUACCGAUAAAUGGCCACACCGGCGACACCGAUCAAAAUCGACCCCAUCAGGUAGCCCCAAAGCUUGUACUGAAAGAGAGAGGAUAGCUAAAUCAAACCCAACGGGACAAAGCGCAUUGCAGAGCGGGGUCAGUGUCGAAAGAAAGAGGAAGAGAAAAGGAAACAAAUCAAUUUACACCACAAUAAUUAUGACUGCACAGAUGGAAUUUUUUUCGCGGAUUGGACAGUGAGAUGGCGAGAUAUCGAGUUUGCGAUGGUGACGAUUCCGUGAAAGACAAAACCAAGUUUCUUCUCCAUUCUCAUAUACCCAUCUCAUCGGAGAAACGAGGCGUUUUACGAAACACGUCAACCAUUAUGCAAUUUCAUAUGUGUGGCAUUAUCUAAGUUAGUAAACGAAACGGUUGGAAAUUAAUAUCUCGUAAAACACCCCGAAAUCAUGUACACGGAGAGGCAUGUUAAGUUCAUACCUUUACCUUCGAUGUUUCGUUGCUCGGUGAAGCAGGGGGAGUUUUGGAUUUUUGUUCUAAUGAUUGCGCACGACCAAGCAUUCUCUGAUAUAAGUUUCUCUCAUCGCGAUCUUCCUUUUUCGACUUGAUGAAUAGUUUUGCCAGUUCCUAUAACAUAAAACACGUUACUUGUGCUUAAUAUGAUCUCAUAAAUAAACAAUGUUGCCCAUACCAAUUCUAUGAGUUUGUCUUCCUUGUCGAUAGUGGCUGCACUUUGCAUGCAUGUAAUUGCUUCUUUGGUCUCACCUCGGGCAUCUAAAAUCUAUGUUAUUUUCAUGUAGUUUUGCUACAUAAGAGAAAAAAAUAUAUGAAUUACCUUUCCUUUUCGAUACAAUGCCUUCGCAUUAUCCGGCUGACAUUGCAAAACAUAAUUAACCGAUUUGAGGGCAGCAUCGUAGGCAGCAAUCCUAUAUUGUGCCAAAGCCAGAUUAUUGUACACCUUCAUCCGACCCUC